UAUAAACUUAUACUCUAAUUAAUGUUAAUUUAGAGUUAUUUUGAUAUUGAUUUUUAAUUUUAGGGUGAAAUCAGAAAUUAUUUUUAUUUAAACUCUAAAUUUUAAGAUUUAGUAAACAAACCAGAUUAGUACCUGGUUAGAUAAAAUUUAAAAGAGCAGGAGUAAAGUUAUAUUUAAACUGUAAGAAUAUUGGCAGGUUUUUAAAUUAUCUUUGGAGGCUGAGUAGUGAUUGAGAGCCCUCAUUUUCAACUUUUUCUUUAGGCGCAUGUAUGAUCGUUUAUUUUAUUCUUAAGGAUUGUAAUUUUAGUCUUUGCUAUAAAAAUAGAUAGAUAUCUGGCUUAUGAGAAAGAUUUAAUUUGGCCUACAAUAAUUUAAUUUUUGGAUUCUAGUUUUAGAGGUUAGAUGAAAUUGUAAAAGACAGUAAGUUGCUUUUAAUGGGUGGCUGAAGUUUAUUUAAAAACGGUACAAAUCAUCCAUCAAUUGCCUAUAGG
rnacentral:ncRNA from 1 species